rnacentral:lncRNA from 1 species
CCAGGCCUUCCCUGGCCAGCGUGACCUACUUUCCUGGCUGAGUGACACUGAGGGGAAAAUGGUCGGUGACGGGCAGCCCUGCUCUGCGUGCAGCCAGCGGGGAGGGUGACCAGUGCCCUCGCAGCCAGGUAGGGAGUCCUGGCGGGCAGAGACCGGUGCCCCCCGCCCCGCCACAGCUGAGCGCAGUGGUGAGCAGAGGCGGGCACUCCCAUUCCUGCGUGUCCAGCCCGGGUCCCCUCCAUUGCUUCACGGUCGACAGAGACCUUGGAGGCCCCAACCCUCCAGGGCCCGGGCAGCAGGAUCCCAGACUGUCUCAAAGGCACCUCCUGCUGAGCUGGACAGCCGGCUCAGGGCCCCGGGGCAGCUAUUUCCCCUUCCCUCAGGGACACUGCCCACCCCAGGCCCCCGGGUGCAUCUGCUGAGCAGGUGCGCGGCUUGGAGGGACUUGGUGACACACUGGGCCAGCAUCUGUGCAGUGGCGCCCCAGCCUGGCUCGGGGAGGGCACCAGGACAGCAGUCCCUCUGAGGGUGCUUCUCACGCACCCGGAGUCCCUGCUUCCACCUCGAGGCUGCUGCUCGAACCCUGCCCAAUCCGCCUCCACCAGCUUCUCCCCGCCAGCCAGGCAGUGUCCCCCUGCUCCGCUCCAGGGCCGUUCCUGCUGCCUCCAGAUGGUGACCAGGCCCAGAUAGGGGCUGCUGAGUGGCCACAGUAGAUGUGUCCAGAGGACCCUCAGACGCAUGUCGGAGUCCCUGAAACCAGUGGGUCAGAAGAAGCCUUUGCAGCCCCGUGUGGGGGCGCACAUCUACAAUCCAGCACUCUGGGAGACUGGGGGAGGAAGAACACAAGCCUGAGCAACUAGUGACUUAGCAAGACUCUGUCUCAAAAUUUAAAAAGGGCUGGAGGUGCAGCUCAGUGCAAAGGCUAUGGGUUCAAUCCUCGGGACUGAAAGAAGAGGAAGCGGGCGGGGACCUCUUACAGCCUGGGUUUCACUGGGCACAAAGCGGAAGCUGAGUCACAGUGCAGCUAGUAGCAUGGGCCAGCCCACCCGCCACCCUCCGCGUUGCCCUCUCCUGGGCUUCAGGUCGUGGGGUUCUCGGGUGGCCCGGAGGCCUGGAGGCCCAGCUCGGGCGCUGUGGAAGAUGUGCAUGGAAUCCCUGGGCUGUGUGCUCACACCUGUCACUCCCACACGUGUCCACCACGCACACAGCCUGGUGCCUGAGCCCCUCCAGGCCAUGUGGUCACAGGGCAUGGCAGAGGCUGUCCCAGCAUGUGUACCCCGGGGGAAACCAGAGGACUGCUGCUGCCAGGCCUCCUCCAGCCGAGGCUCCGAGCCAGCGUGGACGGAGGUGCCCAGCAGCCUCCACGGGUGCAGCUGUCCUAUCGCCCCUCCUCCACAAAAAGGCAGCUCAUUAGGGGAAACUGAGGCAGGGAGCCCCAGGCCCCAGAGGGCUGACAGCUGUGGUGGCUGUCCCCACCAGGGCUUUCCUCAGGCAGCCCAGGUACUGGGCCCCCACGCUGGCUGUCCUGGGCUCCAGGGAGUCCAGUGAAGCCCAGAUAUGACACCUGAGCCACCUCCGCAGUGCCCCUCCCACCUCUGCAGUGUCCCCUCCCACCUCUGCAGUGUCCCCUCCCACCUUCAGUGUCCCCUCCCACCUCCAGUGUCGCCUGCCCACUCCCUCCCUGGUCCCCACAUCACCAAGAGCAGCGACAUCUCAUCACUAGCAAGCCUCUGAGGGUGGCUUCCAGGGAGCUGAGGCUUCUGCCCACAGACAGGGAUGUGGCUUCUCAGGAGGAGCAGGGCACCUGGGCCGGGCGUGGGGACAGAGCACAAUGGCCCCUUCCCUGCCUGGAUUCUGCUGUUCUGCGACAGGGGUCUAGAGGAAUACAUGAAGGAGCUAAACCAGGGUGGGUUUGUUUAAAGCCAUUAACGUGACACCAUCAACUGGCAGGUGAGACAGCAUUUCCUCUGCUCCAUGAGGGACCCAGGUUCUGGCCAGUGGACCGAGUCCAGACCAGGGGCGUUUCCAGCCUCUGCACAGCACAGCCCCCAGUGGCACAUUUUCCACACGGGUGACUUCUGUGGCGGAGGGGCUGGCACCACGAGCUGAGUAAUGAGCCACCUCGCUGGUCCUCGUCACUCACUCUGUCCUUGUCUCCUGCGAGUUUUCCAGGUCGCUUGGGCAGCCGGAGACGUCAUCUGAGUGACUCAGUGUUUGUCCUCUGCACACUGCACUGACCAGCCUGACGGGAACACCGGCCACGUGAUGUGGGCCCCUGGGCGGCUGUGCUGUGGGGAUGCCAGGACCUGCUGCUGCGAUGCAGCUGACGUGCAGGGUGGACGCUCUUCUGUCCCAGAUCCCGUUUCCUGAGGCUUUGUGCUUUGGCAGAGGCCAGGAGGCACCUUGGCUGGGGGAGACCCCAGGACCAGGGUGACAUCUGAGACCCCGCCAGUGCCCCCGGGCAGGUCUGCGGAGCAAUGCUGGCCUGGCCUUGGCUGUGCUCUGCCAGAGGGGCCAGCGCUGUUCUACACUCGGAGAGCCAUGGAAGCUGGGUCUCGAGAGCGCCCUGAGUCUGUGCGCCCUACACUAGCCUGGCCCACCCCAUGGGCCCUGGUGGGCCAGGGAAAUGACACACCCAUCCUCAUGCUAAGCGAGGGGUCCUCGACCCUUCCCUGCACUCCAGGGAAGCAAUUGCGGCUCCUAGGAGGAACCACAUGUCUUGGAAAACACCACAGCAAAGCCAAGAACUGUGAAGAAAGAAGACAGCAGAGGAAAGUCUAGGCCUCUCCUGUCCAGAUACUCAGACUCGCCGGACACUGAGCUCCUCCCGAGGUCCUUCUGCGAGGCCACACAGAGGUGGACACAUCCAGGGAGGCCAGCGUGGGGUGCCCCAGGGGGCUUCCAUCUGCUGUUUACCCUUGGAAUCAGAAAACGGACUGAAGGCUUUGGGUUUAAAAAGCAUGAACACCACUCAACUGUAAAACUUUUC